rnacentral:rRNA from 1 species
GACGAACGCUGGCGGCGUGCCUAAUACAUGCAAGUCGAACGCAGUGGGGACGGGUGAGUAAAACGUGGGUAACCUCCCAUCAGAGGGGAUAACACUAGGAAACAGGUGCUAAACCGAUACUGAUGGAGGGACCCGGGGUGCAUUAGCUAGUUGGUGAGGUAAGGGCUGACCAAGGCCACGCUGCAUAGUCGACCUGGUGGCGUGAUCUGGCAACCUGGGUAUGAUGACAGGCCCAAACGCCAACGGGAGGCAGCAGUAAGGCAUCUUCGGCAAUGGACGAAAGUCUAGCCGGGAAACGCCGCGUGAGUGAAGAAGGUUUUCGGAGCGUAGAACGCUGUUGUUAGAGAAGCGGUAUCUAACCAGAAAGCCACGGCUAACUACGUGCCAGCAGCCGCGGUAAUUC